rnacentral:tRNA from 1 species
UGUCCCAGUGGCAGAGCGUCUGCUUGGCAUGCAGAAUGCUCCAGGUUUAAUUCCUGACAUCUCAA